GAUGAACGCUAGCUACAGGCUUAACACAUGCAAGUCGAGGGGCAGCAUGAUUGAAGCUUGCUUCAAUUGAUGGCGACCGGCGCACGGGUGAGUAACACGUAUCCAACCUUCCGUACACUCAGGGAUAGCCUUUCGAAAGAAAGAUUAAUACCUGAUGGUAUCUUAAGCACACAUGUAAUUAAGAUUAAAGAUUUAUCGGUGUACGAUGGGGAUGCGUUCCAUUAGGUAGUAGGCGGGGUAACGGCCCACCUAGCCUACGAUGGAUAGGGGUUCUGAGAGGAAGGUCCCCCACAUUGGAACUGAGACACGGUCCAAACUCCUACGGGAGGCAGCAGUGAGGAAUAUUGGUCAAUGGGCGAGAGCCUGAACCAGCCAAGUAGCGUGCAGGAUGACGGCCCUAUGGGUUGUAAACUGCUUUUAUAAGGGAUAAAGUGGGAGUCGUGACUCUUUUUGCAUGUACCUUAUGAAUAAGGACCGGCUAAUUCCGUGCCAGCAGCCG
rnacentral:rRNA from 1 species